rnacentral:snRNA from 1 species
AUAUAUUUUUUUUUUAAAUCUGUUCUUGUCAGUUUAAUAUCUGAUACAUAUUAAAUGGAUUUUUCGAACAGGGAGUCGGAAAUGGGGCUUGCUCCGUCCUCUCCGCGCAUCGACCCGGUAUUGCAGUACCUCUGGGAACGGUGAAACACUU